AUCAACCCUAGAUCGUCACCAAAGGUUUGCAUUUCGUGACUUGGUACUUAAAGUGUCCAUGGACCAAGCCAUUGAAGCUCAUCAACUUGUCUUGUCCUUGAACUUGAACUCAUUGGACGCUGACCAUAAUCGAGCCAAGGGGGCCUGGAAUGACUGCUUGGAGCUCUACGAGGACACCGUUGACAAGCUCAACCGUUCGAUCGGCUCCACCAAUGCCCUUGAUGUCAAUACAUGGUUGAGUGCAUCGCUUACUAAUCAACAGACAUGCCAAAAUGGUUUCAAAAACCUCAACAUUCCUAGCUCUCAUUUGCAGUCUUUCCCAAACUACGUCACGCUCUCAACCAACUUGUCCAAGAUGCUUAGCAACUCACUAUCAAUACACAAGGUCUCAACUUCUUCAUCAGCUCUACAUUUUAGCAAACAAGUUCGUGGAAGACGACGGCGUUUGCUUUCGGAUGCUGGGUUCCCAGAAUGGGUUUCAGCCGCUGAUCGAAUGUUACUCCAAUCGAUAAGUAGCGGACCAAACGCUGAUAUGGUAGUAGCACAAGACGGGUCCGGGAAUUACAAGUCAAUUUCUGAAGCUGUGGAUGCUGCGUACAAGCUACAGGGUGGGGCGACUAAAAGGUUUGUCAUACACGUGAAGGCAGGAGUUUACAGAGAAAAUAUCGAGAUUAAGAGGACAAUGAAGAACAUCAUGUUCAUUGGAGAUGGUAUUGAUGCAACGAUUGUCACAGGGAAUGAAAAUGUCCAAGAUGGUUCAACUACAUAUCGCUCUGCCACAUUUGGUAUGUUUGAGUUGAAGCAAUAAUAAACUUUGAAUCAGUUUAAGGGAUAUUUGGACUCAACAAACCCCAUCAUCUUGAGUUAAUUUUGAAACUUUAGGUGGCGUCACACUUAGAUACUAAUUGAUUCAACACCAAUUUAAUUAACUACUGCAUGAUCAAUUUCAAAGUCCUAGAGAGACCACUAUUUAGACUCAAUUUUUCUUUAACUACAUGAUGUGGUUAUUGAUGAUGAAAUUAUUAUUUAAGUGUUUUUUAAAGUGCUUAGUAACACGUCAGAUUGUUUGUAAAUUAGUCUAUCAUAUUAUUCUUCACUUAAACCAUGUUUUGUAAAUCAUAUAACAUGAUUAUUGAUAUUUAAAUUAUUAAGUGUUGAUUAACGUAUUUAAUUUCUAUCAUUACUCUUACUCAAAUUAUAAAGCUAUUUACCAGAUCCUGCUUUUCCUUUUUUUCCUUUUCUCGACAAGAUUUAAAUACUGAUAACCUAGCUAAUUACAUGCCACGUGAAUAGUUACAAGUUUUUCUCCUAGUAUACAUCUAAUGGUUCACAAAAUUAAUAAACUGUUAACUUAAAAUUCAGGGGCUAGCGGCGAUGGCUUUAUUGCUCAAGACAUGACAUUCGAAAACACAGCCGGACCACAGAAAUACCAAGCCGUGGCACUCCGCUCCGGCUCCGACCAUUCAGUCUUCUACCGUUGCAGCUUCAAGGGUUACCAAGACACGUUAUACGUGUAUUCCCAACGCCAAUUCUACCGCGACUGCGACAUAUACGGCACAAUCGACUUCAUCUUCGGCGACGCCACGGUUGUGCUCCAAAAUUGCAACAUCUACGCGAGGAAACCAAUGAACAACCAAGUAAACACCGUGACAGCGCAGUCUAGGACCGACCCGAAUGAAAACACAGGCAUUGUUAUUCAUAAUUCACGAAUCACGGCUGCACAAGAUUUGAGACCUGUACAAGGUUCGUUUAAGACGUACUUGGGUAGGCCGUGGAAAAAGUACUCUAGGACGGUAAUUAUGAACAGUAAUCUUGAUGGGUUGAUCAAUCCUGAUGGUUGGUUUCCGUGGAGUGGAAGCUUUGCUCUCUCCACACUUUAUUACGGGGAGUACAUGAACUCCGGCUCUGGAGCUGGUACUGGAGGGAGGGUCAACUGGCCCGGUUAUCGUGUUAUAACGAGUGCGGUGGAGGCCGGGAAGUUUACGGUUGGGAACUUUUUGGCCGGGGAUUCGUGGAUUCCGGGGACCGGAGUUCCAUAUACAGCUGGUCUAUGAUAAUGCAUGCAUGUGGUUGUGGAGAGAAGUUGUUUGACUUGUUAAGGAGGGACUUGUCACACUUGUGUAUUGUUGUGUGCGGAUAGUGACCUAAAGUGAAAAUCGUCACAUAGCUUGUUUUUAGCUUCCUUUUGGUAAUUAUAUCCCGUUUAUCCCUCCUGUAAUGCAGUAAAUAUUUUCAAACUAUUACUUAAUGUUAUUACGUGGUGUUAUUAAUAGAUAACUCGUUUAAAAGUGCUUAUAAAAUAAGUAAAAGUACUUUUGAUGCAAAUAUUUUUGGAACUAAUCCUUGAUAAAUAUGUAGGUGAAUCCUGAAAAGGCAAUUCAAGUGCUUUUAAAACUCAAAAAUAUUUUUUCUAAAACGUUUUCAAUCAUUUUAAAAACAGUUACAAACAUACCAUGAUACGUUAUCACAUAAUGGUAUUAACAAUAUUGGGUCAACAAUGCCCUUCCUUUCAUCAAAAGAUUUGGGAGGCCAGCAUCCAGUUGAGCGCUGGGCAUACUGACGCCCGAGCUUGUCAAGAAAACUUUGAGUUCGUGAACGAUGGGCCUAUCAAGACCGAAGUGUCUAAUCGAGUGAAAAUUUUUAUUAAGCUUGCGGGCAUUGCGCUUGAGCUCCUUGUUAAAGUUGAAAAAGGGACAGUGCUCUGAUCAUAAUGCACUUACGGUCGUUGGAAAGGUUGAAAUUGUCAAUUAGUGAGAGAAUUAAUAAAAAUAAAUUGAGGUCUAAAUACUUCAAAUGGAUACUUUGGAUGCGAUCCCUAACUUUAACAUUUUUUUAUUAAAACCUUCAUAAUAUUCAAAGUUUGAUCAAAGUCCCUUGACUUUGUACACCUCAUUAUAUUACUAUUAAUAUUUAUAUUUUCAUAGUUUUGAUAUUAAUUGUUUGAUAUUUUAUAAGAUUUAUAAUCCUAUAAAUUUAAAACCCCUCAUUAUAAUACUAUUAAAAACGGUUACAACAAAAAAAUUCAAACAUUUUGAUUUAAUAAAUAGAUAAAAACUAUGUAAAAAUAAGAAAUAAGAAAUGGCAAAAGAAUGUAUCCAUAGUGUUAAAAAAAUUGGUACAUUUUACAAAAAAAAAAGGUACAUUUCACAUAUAACAAAGUGGUACAUUAAUAAAGAAUAAUGGAUACAUUAUAAAACUAAAAAGAAAAUGCUACAAAUGAAUUUUUAGGGUACAGAUAAAAGAUUAAAAAAUUAUGAGUACAAAUGAUAUUUUUUUUAAAUAUAGGUGCUAAAAAAUUAAUACAUGGGUACAAAAUAAAACUAAAAACAAAAUACUACAAAUUUAAAAAAAAAUGUUGCAAAUUAAAAGUGGGUACAAACUAAAAAUAUAAAUGUAUGAUACAAAGUUUAGGCAUAAAACAUAAAUAUACCAUAUGCAAUUUUUCUAUCAUUGGUUAAAUAUAUAAUGUCACGUGACGGUAUACACAUGGGUACAAACACAAAUAAAACUUUAAAAAAUUGGGCACAAAAAGAAACUAAUAUAUGGGUACAAAUUAAAAAUGAAAAGAAAAUUGGUACAAAUUAAAAAAUAUUUGCAAAUUAAAAAAAGGUACAAACUAAAAAUAAAAAUAUAUGAUAAAAAAUUUAGCCAUAAAUAUAAAUAUACUGAUUGUAACAUUUUUAACACUAAAUGAAUAUAUUUAAAAAUAAAAAUAUUUUAUUAUUCAAAUAAUUAAUGAUGUUAUUAAUACCCAAGGAUCUUGAUCAAAAAUUGAAAAUGAAUAGGAUUUUAAUCAAUGGAGUAACAAAAAGAAGGAUGUGAAUCUAAUUUUCCCUACUUCAAAUCUUAACGUCGGUUUGUAUUUUUUUUCCUUGAUUGUGUCGUCUUAUAAAAAGAUUAUAUAGUAGCAAGGAAGACAAUUUAAUCCUAUAUAUAGGUUAAUCCUGUAUACAGGUUAUAGUUUAAAUCCUAGUUUAUCAUCAGUUUGUAUUUUCUUGCUUGAUCGUGAUAUCUUACGUAAAAUAAAAUAAAAAUAAAAAGAAAAAAAGAAAACAUAUGUGUAUUCUUAUAAUGAAAAAUAAGAUUACCUAUAAUUAAUACAUUAAAAUGAAACUAAAGCAUACGUAUAUUCUUAGAAUGAAAAAUAAGCAUAUGUAUAUCCUUCUAUUUCAGAACAGUUUUGUUUGUACCAUACUUGACCAAUCCCGAAACUACUGAGCACCGGUCAACGUUAUACCGUCAAGGACCCAGAAGAGUUUCCCUCCAACCAGGAGGCCAAUCAUAGCGCGACACGUGUUGACAUCAGAAGCCAAUCAUAGCACGACACGUGUCAACAUCAGAAGCCAAUCAUAACACGGCACGUGUCAAUGUCAGAAUGAAACUAGAAAUUUUCUUCUAUAAAUAGAGAUCAUUCUCUCACAAUAUUUCCUAAUGUCAUUUGUACUAAAUCAUUCACUAGUACUCAUUAAAGGAAAGCUUAAACCUAUAUGUACUUGUGUAAACCCUUCACAAUUAAUGAGAACUCCUCAACUCCGUGGACGUAGCCAAUCUGGGUGAACCACGUACAUCUUGUGUUUGCUUCCCUAUCCCUAUCCAUUUACAUACUUAUCCACACUAGUGACCGGAGCAAUCUAGCGAAGGUCAUAAACUUAACACUUUUUGUUGUACCAAAGUCCUCACUGAUUUUGUGCAUUAACAUUUGGCGCCGCCUGUGGGAACGACACUUAUUCCCACUCUUUUCAGCUUUGCUAAGUUGGUUUCCACCAUUCGUACACUCUCUUUUGACCAGGCAUCCCUCUCCAACAUGGGGAGCGAAGGAAGCCACAGCACACAGAAUGACACCUCUCUUACUCCUAAUGUGAAGCAACGAAAAAAUGAAGGAAAUAGGGUUGCUCUUCAAGCUAAAGUCGAUGAGCUAGAAGCUCAGAACAACAAGAUAACAAUGAAGAAUGAGGUCCUCCAGGAGCAAUAUGAGAAGCUCUUUGAGACGUUCCACGAAACUAGGCGUACUCAAACACGCGAGCUCGUUGCCCCUGUGGACAUCAACCAUCAUCUGGGUGCCCCCCAACACGAAGGGUCACCUCCCUUCAACAUGGGUAUCCCUGAUGAAGAAUGAGCUAAUCAUCAAAACAUUGAUAAACAUGAGACUUCUCUCAACCCAGAUGCUUCGACCCGAAGUAGAAGAAGUGGAGGAAGACACCUCUUUGCAGAAGGGUUGGAAGGAUCGAAAGCCAUUUAUUGUGACUGCCGAGACUUUCUAAAGUAACGUCGAGAGAAUCCCCUCCAUAUAUGCUCGAAGAUCAAUGACCCAAGGGUUUCUGAAAGACUCGGUCCCCUCCUACGACCCAGGCCAGCUGCUAAUCUAGGGAAGGAACGACAGGUCCCAGAGGAACAUGAAGGUACGGAGGACUCUGAGGUAUUCCGACAGACUUACCCUAGAAGUCAGUACAGUGAGUCCAAGAAAAAACCACACGCCCUUACUCAAACUUUCCUACUUCCAAGAGGCGAUGGAGACUUACCAAAGAAAAUUCCAGUGGUACAUGACUCCACUCAGGACCUCAUUUUCCUACAGCUCAUUGAGGAAGUAAACAAGUUGAAGGCCGAACGUCAGGCCGAGAUACCUGACUGGAACCAACCCAAGCCUGGCCCUUUCACAAGAAUGAUUCUCGACACCCCCUUCAAGCGAAGACAAAACAAAAGCUUGGUUUACAACUCUAUACUGGAAGGGAUGACCCAAUUGAACACCUUAACCUCUUUGAGUUCACCAUGGCAUAUUGGAUGCACACCGACGAAGAACAAUGUCUUCUCUUCCCAUCCACCCUCUUUGGCGGAGCUCUAAAUUGGUAUUGUCGUUUUCCACCUGAGACAGUAGACUCAUUUAAAGAAUUGAUGAAACUGUUUGUCUCUCAACACAUCUUCCAGACCAAUCACUUACAUUCUGCAGAUGACUUGUACAUUAUUCGCCAGAAGCGGGACAAGUUAUUACGAGAGUAUGCCGGUCGCUUUAGCCAUGAGUAUUCUCGCUGCGCUGAGGCAGAUGACAAGACUGCCCUCAAGGCUUUCACGGCAGGCCUACGUGAUUGUUUCUUCAAGUACAUGAUCAAUGCCAACACUUGGAAGACUUACUCUGAGGUGAUGGCACAGGUUUACAACCACGUCUUCACUGAAGCAAGGACAUACCAAGGGAACCCCUAUCAACAAAUGGGAAAUGGAAGUCAAGUUCUACCAAGUGAGGAGAUAUUGGCAAUUCAGACACCCAUUGCAUCAUCUCCUGCCUCAUUUAGCUACUCGUUAAGUCACCAAACGUAUCUGUCUCUUGGUAAGAGGAAUUAUUUUUACUCUCAGCAAGCUUAUUACAACAAGAGGGAUAAAAGUUCGUAUCAAGACAACCAGGGGUGAACGUACCGUCAACUAUUAUGACUAUGGGGCCAAGCCUCACUCUUUCAAAGUGGAGGACUAGGUACUGAAGGAAAUACUAUUAUAAGAAGGCAUACACAUUAAAAAUGUUUUAACUCUCAACCGCUUCAGAUCUUUUGUCACACAAGUCAUUCGGCAAAUAUUUAAAGAAGAGGGAAUUUAGACAACUUCUUCUGAGUCUUUUGCGUUCCUAGCACUGGAACACUUGGUCUACGCUGACCUACCCUUAUACUUCAACUCAGAGCUUCAACAUGCGUACUUUGACACAAAGUAUGUGAUACUAAAUGUUACAACCAACAUGGUUCACAUAUCAAAAGCAUGGAUCCCUUCAUGCAUAGCAAAACAUUCAUAAACAGAACUUAUAUCAAUCAACAUAAACAUUAUACAUUCCAACACAUUCAUACAUAAACAUCAUACAUUCCAACACAUUCAUACAUAAACACCAUACAUUCCAACGCAUUCAUACAUAAGCCAACUGUGCUUCAAAAGGGUUCAACAUACUUUGUGUCUUCGACACUUGCUACAAUGUGCCUCGACACCUUGCCCUUAUUCUUACCAACCAGGUGAUGAAAUGUGAAUAAGGAACUCAUCUUCAUGCCACAAACUAAGUGAUUAAAUGUACAACCUGUACUCUCCUUCAUGCCACAAACUAGGUGAUGAAUUGUACAACCCGUAUUCUAAUAUCAUUUGGCAACUUGCCACUCAUGCCACCAACCAGGUGAAGAAGGAACUUAUCUUCGUGCCACCAACCAGGUGAUGAAAUGUACAACCCGUACUCUCAUUCAUGCCACCAACUAGGUGAUGAAAUGUACAACCCGUACUCUAAUAUCAUUUGGCAACUUGCCACUCAUGCCACCAACCAGGUGAAGAAUGAACUCAUCUUCAUGCCACAAACUAGGUGAUGAAAUGUACAACCCGUACUCUAAUAUCAUUUGGCAACUUGCCACUCAUGCCACCAACCAGGUGAAGAAGGAACUCAUCUUCAUGCCACAAACUAGGUGAUGAAAUGUACAACUCGUACUCUCAUUCAUGCCACCAACCAGGUGAUGAAAUGUACAACCCGUACUCUAAUAUCAUUUGGCAACUUGCCACUCAUGCCACCAACCAGGUGAAAAAUGAACUCAUCUUCGUGCCACCAACCAGGUGAUGAAAUGUACAACCCGUACUCUCAUUCUUAUCACCAACCAGGUAAUGAAAUGUACAACCCGUACUCUCCUUCAUGCCACCAACCAGGUGAUGAAAUGUACAACCCGUACUCUAAUAUCAUUUGGCAACUUGCCACUCAUGCCACCAACCAGGUGAAGAAUGAACUCAUCUUCUUGCCACCAACCAGGUGAUGAAAUGUACAACCCGUACUCUCCUUCUUGUCACCAACCAGGUGAUGAAAUAUACAACCCGUACUCUAAUAUCAUUUGGCAACUUGCCACUCAUGCCACCAACCAGGUGAAGAAGGAACUCAUCUUUAUGCCACAAACUAGGAAAUGAAAUGUACAACUCGUACUCUCAUCCAUGCCACCAACCAGGUGAUGAAAUAUACAACCAGUACUCUAAUAUCAUUUGGCAACUUACCACUCAUGCCACCAACCAGGUGAAGAAGGAAUUCAUCUUCAUGCCACCAACAAGGUGAUGAAAUGUACAACCCGUACUCUCCUUCUUGCCACUAACUAGGUGAUGAAAUGUGAUGAAGGAACUCACAUUCGUAUGACUAACCAAGUGAUGAAAGCAACUCACCAUUCAUUCCACCUACCAGAAGACAAGUGGUACAAUUUGUACAUGUGAACUUCUAGCAUUCACAGAUAAUAAAAAAUCCUCAAGCUUGACAACUCAACUAGGGGAGCACUUAUGCCCAACAAGAGUUAUAGUCAUCAAUAAAGUCUUAUUGCAAGCCAACAACAACUUCAGUGCAUGGCAUACGAAGAUCAAGCUAUUCAGCCAUCUUGCAUCUGCUUCAGACAUUUCCCCUCUGUAACAAUGCAAACACUACAACUCGUAAAAAGCUUCACACAUUCUUGAUCAAGAUAGUGUGAAGCAAAACCAAUUUAUGGUGCCAAUAAGAGCUUUAUCAAUAGAGGGUAACCACAAUUCUCAAAAGCUUCACACACUAUUGAUUAAGACAGUGUGAAGCAAAACAAAUUAUGAUGCCAACAAGAGCUUCAUCAAUGGAGGGUAACUAUAAUUCUCAAAAGCUUCACACACUCUUGAUCAAGACAGUGUGAGACAAAACAAAUUUAUGGUGCCAACAAGAGCUUCAUCAAUGGAGGGCAACCACAAUUCUCAAAAGCUUCACACACUCUUGAUCAAGACAGUGUGAAGCAAAACCAAUUUAUGGUGCCAACAAGAGCUUUAUCAAAUGAGGGCAACCACAAAUUCUCAAAAGCUUCACACUAUCUUGAUCAAGAUAGUGUGAAGCAAAAUCAAUUCGUGAUACCCAACAAAGCUUCACCACAAAAGCUUCACACUAUCUUGAUCAAGAUAGUGUGAAGCAAAAUCAAUUCAUGGUACCCAACAAAAGCUUCAACUCCAAAUCUUCACCAACAAAAGCUUCAUCAAUGGAAGACAACUACAAAUGCUCAAAAGCCUCACACUAUCUUAAUCAAGAUAGUGUGAAGCAAAAUCAAUUCAUGGUACCCAACAAAAGCUUCAACUCCAAAGCUUCACCAACAAAAGCUUCAUCAAUGAAGGACAACUGCAAAUUCUCAAAAGCUUCGCACUAUCUUGAUCAAGAUAGUGUGAAGCAAAAUCAAUCCAUGGUACCCAACAAAAGCUUCACCCAUAAAAACUUCACCAACAAAAGCUUCAACACUAAAGCUUCACCAACAAAAGCUUCACCAACAAAAGCUUCAUCAAUGGAGGCCAACUACAAAUUCUUAAAAGCUUCACACUAUCUUGAUCAAGAUAGUGUGAAGCAAAAUCAAUUCAUGGUACCCAACAAAAGCUUCACCUACAAAGCUUCAACUCUAAAGCUUCACCUACAAAAGAUUCACCCACAAUAACUUCACCUACAAAAGCUUUACCAACAAAAACUUCACCCACCACAAAAGCUUCACCCACCACAAAAGUUUCACCCAUAAAAGCUUCACCAACAAAAGCUUCACCCACAAAAUCUUCCCCCACCAAAAAAGCUUCACCCACAAAAUCUUCCCCCACCACAAAAGCUUCACCCACAAAAGCUUCACCUACAAAAGCUUGACCCAUAAAAGUUUGACCCACAAAAGCUUGACCGAUAAAAGCUUGACCGAUAAAAGCUUGACCCACAAAAGCUUGACCUACAAAAGCUUCACCCACAAAAGCUUCACCCACAAAAGCUUCACCCACAAAAGUUUCACCCACAAAAGCUUGACCCACAAAAGCUUCACCUACAAAAAUUUGACCCACAAAAGCUUCACCUAUAAAGUUUCAACACAAAAGCUUCACACUAUCUUGAUCAAGAUAGUGUGAAGCAAAAUCAAUUCAUGGUGCCCAACAAAGCUUCAACCUCAAAACUUCACCUACAAAGCUUCAACACUAAAACUUCACCUACAAAGGUUAAAAUAUAUAUAUAUAUAUAUAUAUAUAUUCGAAAAUUCAAAAUUUUUAAAAUUAGAAGAAAAAAAAAUUCGAAAAUUCGAAAAUUCAAAAAAAAAAAAAUUGCCUAGGCCUCUUCUUCUUUGGGCCUAACAACUUUCAUAACAAAUAUAUAUGAAUGAGGAGUUUUGGGCUACCACUUAGAAAGGAAAUGCCUCAUUCGUCAACUCCUUCUACCGGAGACUUAGGGGACUCCUACCAUAUACUACUGCAUCUUGAUACUCAGAAGUCUCACGACCACUCAGUGACUUGGAUUUUUCAAGUCUCCAACCGAGAAGUUUUCCUCACUCGAGAAAUUAAGGGAGCACUACCUCAACAUAUAUGUUUCACUCUCAAAGCUUCAACAAAAGAAAAAAUUCAAAGAACUUAGUGAAGAAGGCCUUGGUGUAUUUAACACAAUACGUUGAAAUGAAGCAAAGCUUGUUUAUUGAUAUCUCCGAUAAGUUACAAAUAUGUACAUAUACAUGAAUCAAAAUAAACAAACAAGAGGGAGCCUUCACAAAAAUUGCUCAUGAGAAGUCUCAGCAAUCGACAAAGCCUCAGAAAGAGUAGGCACCAGAGGGUGAUCAUUCGGAGCCUCAGUACUGGGCAGAACCCCAGAAUGAGGAGGCACCGAAGGUUGAUCAUUUGGAACUUCAUUACGCGGUACAGCCUCAGAAGACGAAUGCAAUAAAUGCCUUUGGAACAAACCCACAAACCUCUGAUGAUCAAGCAAAAUCUGACCAUCAGAUUCCUGCAGCUGGUCAAGCUUCCUCUUCAUGUUUGUAGCAUAGUCAUGUGCGAGCCUAUGCAACUGUUUAUUCUCAUGCUUGAGCCCUCUGAUCUCCUGUUUGAGACUUAUCACUUCAGCUGCCAAUGAUUCUGUUUGUGGCAGGAAUUUCCGUCAGGGAUGUUCCCUGGCCGACAAGCAUACAGCUCCCCGAGAGGUUAGCGCCGGUUGAUGCUUUCUGUCAGGCUUCUACUUCACUGGUGGGCUUAUCGGGCAAAACUUAUCGGGCAAGGCUUGUCGGGCAAAGCUGAAAGAGAAGGACAAAGUUAACUUUGAAAUGUGCCUUCGUGGGGCCUUAGGUGUAGGCCUUGAGGUUCACAAUCAAGAUUAACUUUUAAGUGCUCAGGCGUGCCACUACCAUCUUCAGCAUGACAGAUGUAAAACAGAUGUUGAGUUUUAGUUGUAUAUAUAUCCGAUAGACUAUGUUAGUUAUGACAUGUGCCUUUAUGGGGCCUUAGGUGUAGGCCUUAAGGCUUCCAGUCAAUAACUAGCUCAGUACUCGAACAUAUAAUGUCCGCUUCAUUGAUUAUAUGAGUCUUAUAACCAUUAUACUUCUGAUGACCUGAGCCCGAAGAGCAGAAAUGAAUCCAAAUAGGUGCCUUUGUAGGACCUUAGAUAUAGGCCUUGAGGCUUCCCAUCAGAAUUCCUUCUAUACUUAAACGUUCUAGCCCGAGGAAUAGAAUGAAUCCAAAUAGGUGCCUUUGUAGGGCCUUAGAUAUAGGCUUUGAGGCUUCAUGUCAGAAUUCAUUCCAUACUCAAACGUUCUAUGGUAAUCAUAAUAUAAUAGAAAUAAAACUAAGGAAUAGGUCGAUUACUUGCGCCCCAAGUAACUUCAGACUUCUUGUUAUCAAAGCUUGUCGUGGAUGGGUUAAGUCCAUAUAAGGUUCUUUUUUAUGCCUUGAGGCCAAGGACUUUUAAGUGAUCAAAUCCUACAUGCCCGAGGGCUUAGAACUUAGAUCUGGUUUGAACUCUAAAGACAUAUUCAAAUCGGAUUCAAGCAUUGAGAGAGUCUUUUAAUAGCCAUCUUACUAGAAAUGACUUGAAUACAACUUGAAGUAUACAACAUAUUGCUAGGUUAAUGAAUGAAAAGACAGAAACAAAGAGGGUCGGGCAAGGCUGAUCGUCUUGCAACUUCCUAUCUUUGUGGUUUAUCAAGGGGAUUGAGAGCUUUAGAAGAGGGGUAGGGAGAUGAGUUUAUAGAAAUAAAUCGAUACUACAGCAAGAGUUAAACAAGGUAGUAGAGCUAUUACAAAGGCUUGAGUGAGGGCUUAUCCCGAAAGGGAUGAAGGCUUGGGCUGACUACAGCUUCGUUUGAAAACAAAUAUGGCUUUUAAGCAGAGUUUGUGCUUGUAUUUGUUUGUUUGUUUGAGUGUCCCUAACUCUGAUUUCUCUUUCUUCUUUUAUAGACAUUUUGGCUUGGCCUCCUGUAGCAGUAAUCUUGCCCGAAUGCGGUUUGAAGGAUAAUGACUCAUCAUCUAUUUUACUUGUACUGCCACUGUAAAGUACUUUUUGGCUGAUUAGUUGGCUGGUCUAUACCACUUGGUCUUUGGGUAGGUAAGCAAGUGGUGCAAAUGGUCUACACCUAGUCGGGAAAGCCUUUCUCUGCCUUCUGGGCUUGGGAUGGACUUCGGGCCUCUCUCCUCUUUUUGGGCCAACUCCCUUUUCGUGGCUAAAGUUUAAGUUUUAACCCAAACAGAUUUAACUUGGCGAGUUCGAGCAAAUAGGCGUUGGGCCAUAUUAGACACAGAACUUGCACAUUGAACACUGAGAGCCAAAGAAUCUUUAACAGCCAACUCAUCAGACCGUUUGGAAAGUAAUCUGUUAUCUUUAGGAGUGAGAAGGUUCCUGGCCACCAUCGCAGCAAUCAUAUCAUUCUUCAUCACAGAGUCCCCAACGGUAAGAGGACCAGUAGGGGAUAAGAAGGAUGUACGCCAUAUGUUGUCUUGAAAAGGCAUGGCUGCCUCUUCACCAAAGUUCAAGUCAAAACGAUGAUCGGAUGGGCCAGACAUUCUCAGAAAUGAUGAAGGAGAAAUGAGGUGCAAUAAAUCUCUUAAGUACAAAAAUAAAGGGAAAAUUCCUACAAGCAAUAACUAUCUGAAUGUACUUAUUGCACACAAUUGGUGCCUUUAUAAAAGAAAGGGUAACAGGGUCGUUGGUUCAAAAAUUGAAGAGGCACCACUCUCCAUACGCAACAUCAGCUCCUCAGGUACCACAGAUAACUUUGCCAAAGAUCUUUGACAAAGUUUAGACAGACUCCCAAUAGGAUUACACGCUCAAAAAUCGAAGAGGCAUCACCCUCCGAAUCUCAAGAGCCAGACUCCCAACAGGAUUACUUUCUUAAAAAUCGAAGAGAUACUGUUCUCCGAAUCUCAAGAGUCAAACUCCCAACAGGAUUGCUUUCUCAAAAAUCGAAGAGGCACCGCUCUCUUAAUCUCGAGAGCCAGACUCCCAAUAGGAUUAUGUGCUCAAAAAUCGAAGAGGUACCGCCCUUCAAAUCUCGAGAGCCAGACUCCCAACAUGAUUACUUUCUCAAAAAUCGAAGAGAUACUGCUCUCAGAAUCUCAAGAGUCAGACUCCCAACAUGAUUGCUUUCUCAAAAAUCGAAGAGGCACUGUUCUCUGAAUCUCGAGAGUCAGAUCCUCGACAGGAUUGCUUGUUCGAAAACCGAAGAAGCACCGCUCUCCGGACUUCGAGAGCCAAAUUUCCUUGGAUAAAGCUUGUCUGCAAUCUUCACACGCAACAUCAGCUUUCCAGAUACCACAGAUCACUUUUUCAAAGUGCUCUGACAAAGUUAAAACACGUGAAGCUUGCAGCUCCCACUACAUUAUUAUGACCAAGAAGGGUAAAGGAAUAACACUACUACUUGUUGUUAGGGAGACUCCUGUAUAUGUCGACCUCCAUCCUCCACAACCAGGCAGACCUGCAAAUAAAAAAAAUGCUCAACUUUUCUUCACAUCCGAGAGAACACUCUCAACAGAGUCUCUCGAAAUACUCAGCUUAUUUUCCUCCCGAUAAUACCUCUGCAAAUAAGCCACACCAAAGCAAGAGUAUCUCAUAUCAUCAGGGUUAAAAGUAAGAGUAUCCCAUAUCAUGCUUUUUCCCUGUCUUUUCAUUUGGCCUUGUUUUUACCUGUAAGACAAGGAGAAAGAGAGCAAUCAGUAAGCACUUGGAAUCAAGCUUCUAGUCAGGAACUGACUGCCUGGAACCCCUUGCCUGAUUACUUACCUAGCAUUGCUCUCGAGUACUUAUCUUCAACAUCUUAUGCUUUCAGAGAAGAUACCACAUCUACCUGAGGAACAUAUAGGGAAAGUGAGAAUGAUACAAAGAAGCAUGUGGAGACAAGCGUAACAGAACAUGUGUCGAUACAUCCACUACUUUUCCAACAGCAAUUGUAUCACAUAUCAUCAAGGUCGAACGUACUCUAGAUUUGAUGGACUUGUUUUGACCCUCAAAUUCUUGAGUCGGCCUUAUACUCUAGAGGAAACCAGAAAACCCUCCAGCCCAGUUCAAGAAUAAGCCUGUGGAAAGUUACUUCUUCAAAAGCAAAAGUAUCUCAUAUCAUCUCUUAUCCAUUUGCUUCUCCUUAUCAUUGUUGUUGUUUACGACAUAAGGAGAAGGAGAACAAUCAACCGCAAGCCGAAGUCAAACCUCCGAUCCAGAUUGCUUGCUUGGAAGUUUGAUUGCUUACCUUGUCUGUUACCUCCUUCGGUAAAUAUCCUAGCUCGACGACUUGGGAGACUCCUACUAUAGGGUUUGUAUAGCACUUGACCAAGCCCGAAACUACAAGUAAGUUUCAAGUGAAAUUGAUACAUUACCUUGUGCAUCUUCAUCGGUUAAGAUACCACCCCUAGAUGGAGGAAAAGUAUUUCCAGAAAAGAUGUCACAUCUACAUAUGAGACAGAUAAGACCACACUUCAGUACUUAGAAGUUUCAUGAUUACUCAAUGGCUUGGAUCUUGCAAGUCCCCAACCGAGAAGCUUUCCUCACUCGGGAACUUAGAGGAGCACUGUUUGUACUAUACUUGACCAAUCCCGAAACUACUGAGCAUCGGUCAACGUUAUACCGUCAAGGAGAUGUCACAUCUACAUAUAAGAUAUAUAAGACCACACUUCGGUACUUAGAAGUUUCAUGAUUACUCAAUGGCUUGGAUUUUGCAAGUCCCCAACCGAGAAGCUUCCCUCACUCGGGAACUUAGAGGAGCACUAUUUGUACCAUACUUGACCAAUCCUGAAACUACUGAGCACCGGUUAACGUUAUACCGUCAAGGACCCAGAAGAGUUUCUCUCCAACCAGGAGGCCAAUCAUAGCGCGACACGUGUUGACAUCAGAAGCCAAUCAUAGCGUGACACAUGUCAACAUCAGAAGCCAAUCACAACACGACACAUGUCAAUGUCAGAAUGAAACUAGAAACUCUCUUCUAUAAAUAGAGAUCAUUCUCUCACAAUAUUUCCUAAUGUCAUUUGUAUUAAAUCAUUCACUAGUACUCACUAAAGGAAAGCUUGAACCUAUGUACUUGUGUAAACCCUUCACAAUUAAUGAGAACUCAUCAACUCCGUGGACGUAGCAAAUCUGGGUAAACCACGUACAUCUUGUGUUUACUUUCUUGUCCCUAUCUAUUUACAUACUUAUCCACACUAGUGACCGAAGCAAUCUAGCGAAUGUCAUAAACUUAACACUUUUUGUUGUACCAAAGUCUUCACUGAUUUUGUGCAUCAACAAGUUUCAUAAACCAUUUUUCCUCUCAUUCUGAUUACGAAUUAGUAAACCGAGUCAUUAUAGUGGCUUGAAGUAAGGGAGUCAAACUCUCAAUUAAAUACUAAUUGGAUUUGACAUGUAUUAGUGAGGUAUUUUUAUUGAAUUAGGCCAACAGAUGCAUAAGGUCUCUGUUAAGCAACACAGCACGUUAGAUAUUCUCUUGCUUCCCAACCCAGAUAAUCGGUCAACAUCGACAAGAUUGAAGAAUCCUGCCCCAACAUAAUGGGCUUUCUAAGAGGUUAACAAGAAUCCAAAGAAUAAAUGGGCCCUAUUAAAGUUAUGAAGAAUUUGCCCCCUCCAGAAUGGGCUUUCUAAGAGGUUCACACGAAUCUAAAGAAUAAAUGGGCUUUACGAGGUCCACAAUACUCCAAAGAACAAAUGGACCUUUUUAAAAUAAUGAAGAAUCUUACCCCCACCACAAUGGGCUUUCUAAGAGGUCACAAGAAUGCAAAGAUAAGUGGACCCUAAUAUAGGUGAACUAAUCUUGGAUCAAAUAACAUGUCUCAUCAUUUGUACAAAUUAAUUACCGAUAUAUAAUUUUCUUUUACCGAUUAGCACAUUAUUUUUGUAGGUGAAUUAUUUUGAAUGUAUUAUAAUUUUAUUCUCAAAUAAUUGACCUAUAUUUUUAUGAAAAAUAAGGUAAACUAACUUUGAAUCAAAUUUCAAAUCAAAUAACAUUUCUUGUUUUGUAGGUAAAUUAUUUUGCAUUAAUUUUACAUAUAUUAGGCAUUUUUAUAUAAAUAUGUGUGUGUAAAACAAUUAACCUACAUUUAUUUGAAACACAUAUAUUUCCGUGACAUUAAUUAAACAUGUAUUAUUACAUAUAUUAGGCAUUUAUUAUUAUUAUUAUUAUUAUUAUUAUUAUUAUUAUUAUUAUGCCAUAAAUAUAUAACAUUAAUGUUUUUUCCUUUUAUAAAAUCAUUAGUUCCUCCAGUACAUGUACAAUCAGACAUCGAUCCCCCGGCACCCCGUCAUUCCGUGACCAGAUUUGGAAGACAAAUGUCCCGUUGACCGCCGCAUGUACCAAUGCGCAAACUUGUCAAGAAAGCUUUGAUAUUGUGAAGGACGGGCCUCUCAAGACCGAAGUGUCCAAUCGAGUGGAUGAUUUGAGUAAGCUUGCGGGCAAUGCACUUUCGCUCCUUGUUAAAAUUGGAUAGAGGGCUGCGCCCUGAUCACAAUGCGCUUUCACUCCUCAUUCCAUACAAUUAUUGUCGUAAUUUUGAACUCCUUUGCAUCCCCUCAAUAACAAUAUUUAAAAAAUAAAAAAUAAAUCAUAUUUUACAGUAUGUUAAGGAUUACAAUUUUACCUAUAUGGAGAAGAUUUGAAUAUGAAAAUUUGUAGAUACGAAUACAGAGAAACCGAAAAUUCCAACUAGAUUUUGGAUACCCUUAUGGGACAUGGUUUUUAAUGUCGGACAAGGCUUUCUAUAGUUAAGUGAAAUGUACAAACUACAGUUAAGGUAUCCACAAAAAAAUGAGGGAAAGGACGUUAACGCACCGUUGCCGCCCUUCACGACCGCGUCAUAUUGUUCAACGAAGCCAUUGACUCCUUCCGCGAUGCGCUCGUGUUUAUGGACCAGCUGGGCACCCCGUCCUUUCAUGAAAAGAUUAGGGAUACGAAUCUCCAGAUGAAUUGUGAAGAAGACUUAGAGCCCGUGGCGGAAUGGCCUCUCAAGACGAAGUGUCCAAUCGGGUGGAGGGUGUGACCAAGGUUACGGGCAUUUGUGGUGAGACCGCCACCUUUACACACUUGGGUUUGGCCACUAAGGAGGCCUGAAAAUGAGCAAUUAUUAUGGGUUGAGCAUGCCCAUAUAAAGAAGAGAGGCAACCCAAUAGACUAGAGGGGUUGAAUUUUGGAUCAUUUCCUUUUCUCCUUAAAUUGGUUAGGAGCCCUUGAGCACUCAUGGUUGAAUGUAUUGUAACCCAACAUAUAUAUAUAUAUAUAUAUAUUACAAAUUUUCAAUUGAAGCGGUCCAUUUCUGGGUAAACCACUUAAAAUUUAUUUCGUUAAAAUGUUAUGCAUAUUAUUGUCCACAAUAAUUGAUUAUUCAAAUCUUUUGGUUAGUCUCAUCAACUUUCAGCGUUAACAUGACCCAUACCAAAAUUCACGUUUUCAUAACUCAUAAGAGAUUCCUUUUCACGUGUGAACUAUAUUUUUGUAUAUAAAUUUGGGUACUUUUGAAAUGCAACAUCUAUCAAUGUUGUUAUACGAGAGGUAAAAUGCCUCUAUUAGUUGAUCUUACUAAAACCCUAAUUAGUGACUGGUGGCCUCAUUUCAGUGAUUAAAGCCAUACUGGGUUGGAAAUAGGAAUAUUUUGAUGGACGCAACCACGGGUGUUCAAAUUCCAAUCAACUUUGAUCAAAGAAAAUAAAUUAAUACAACUGUAGGCCAAUUAGUGGUCAAUAAAAUAGUGAUACACUUACCAUUUAUUUAUACUAUCUCUCAAAUAGAGAUAGAGUUCACCAACACAUAUGGGUCUCAUAUUCAUUAGAGAGAUGAUACAAGUAGAUAGUAAGAAUAAUAUUUUUAUAAUCAAUACUGUUAGACGUAUCAAGAUUUAUAAAUUUCAAGGAAAAGAAGAGGGACCUCAAGACCAUGCUCAACUUGGCAUUUUACAUUCCAUCCUCGAAAUAAUUUAUGGCGUGUUUACUAAUUUGUAAUCAGAUUGAAGGGAAUUGAAUUGAGAAGGAAUCGGAUUGAGAAGAAAUUAGAUUGAGGAGGAAACAGAAUUAGAUUCAUGUUAAUGUUGUUUACUAUACUAGCUGGAAUCGGAGUAAAAAUGAUAUUGAUUUCAUAUAACUUGUUUACUAGUUCACCUGAAUCGGAAUUAAAACUAGCUUGAUUACUAAACUACCCUUGUGUAACAUAAUUUUUUUCAUGCUAGUUAAUGAAAUUUAAUUUUAUAUCAUAUUAAUAAAUUUCAUCACGUAAGGUUUUGUGUUAAUAAAAAGUAUAGUUAUUUAAUAAAAAUUAAAAAUAUUAUACCAUCCUUAUCCCCCAUUUUGCCCAGAUGCAUCCUCAUCCAUUCCCACCCCUUUGUUAUUUGAUAAGAAACUCUUUCUUCUUCCCGAUCUUCAUCAUCCUCAUUCCACCCUUUGCCCAGAUGCAUCCUUAACUUUUUCUUUCCCAACUAUCCUCUCACUUGUUUCAGAUGCAUAGACCACACGCCUUCCCCUUUCAUUAUGAUCACUUCUCUUUCUCAUCUUUACUUUUCCAACAGCCCUCCCGCUUGCCCAGAUGCAUAAACCUUCACGACGCCUCCUAUCAUCCUCAAUCAAUUAUCGUUGUCGUCAAUAGGUUCUGCAAGCAACCAAGAGAACUGGGUCCGUUGGCUUGAGCCCUAAGCCUGAGUCCUCCAAUGGAAAUUGGUGGGAUUGGAGAAGAUGGAUUUAGUGUCUGCCUGCUGGUGGUGAAGUUGUUGAUUAUUUUGUAAUAAGCAAAAUUAUAGGAGGGCAAUCUAGGAAGAAAAGUUGUAUUCCGGAUGGCCUCCAAUAUCCGGAACUCAAAUACUAGCUUAAUCUAGAGAAUCCCACUCCGCCAAUUUCAAGAGUCCAAUUCUGGAAUUGGUGCGGGUCCCACACGGAACCUGAUUCCUGCCCAACUAGUAAACACAUGAAUCCAUCGAAGAGCAUGCAAUUCCAUUACCGUCCCCUCCAUUCCUCUUUAGUAAACACGCCAUUAGUGUAAUCUCACAUCCACCCAUCCAUCUUUCAUCAUUUGGUUAUUCGUUCAAAGUCUUAUCCCUAAGAAACAGAAAGAACCUAGAUCGAGAACAAGUUCCUUGCUCACUCACACAUCGUUUGAUUAAAAUCAAAUACAAGAGCACAACACAAUAGCUUUCACAAUAUUUCUAUGUCAGCUAAUGUAGGCCAAUGACAAGCCCAGUGUACCAAACUUUUUGCUAAGAGUUUUAUAAAGUAGAAAUUAUGUGGUAUAUCAAAAGGUGGUCUAGAGUCUACUUCCCGAGAAAGUUUUCAAUGUUGAAAACACGGUUCGAUACACCAAGUGUCAUAAUACAAUUGAUUGAAAUUUUUUAUUUUCAAAUAUUCAACCACAUAUAUUAUGAUACUUGGUAUAUCCAACCGUAUUCUCAGCACACUAAAAAAUUUCUCUUACUUCACAUAUGGUGUACACCUAAUAAACUUCUAAACGAUGAGAAUCCAUCCAAUCGAAAUCAAAGGCCAAAGCUUCACAGAGUCUCUUGGUGCAUUUGCGUGUGGUCCUCCUUGAAAAUUGGACUCUUCCUAAUUAAAUAUCCGGCACAACGUUUACAUCUCCAUUAUUUGGCCCUCCUUGGUACGUGUUCAACUUUCGAAUCAUUACUGACACAAAUUACUAAGUUGCUUUGGAUCGAUUAGUUAUUUAACGGCACAAGAGUAAUACAAAGUACGUACAAGUGAGGGAAUGUCCAAAAGAUCAAUCUUAUACUUUUUAAAAUGAAAUCGAGGAAAUUAAACUGCUUUAAGUCAGAAAUUAUGCUGAUUGGUCUUAAUUUAUAACAAAAUCUCAACAGUAAUUUGCCGUAAGAUUUUGAUUUAAGCGAUAUUAUUGCUUUAAGCUCACUAAAAACUCAUGAAAGAGUUUGAACACGAAACACUGUUAGUUAUAGAAAACAGCCUUAUCCACCAAAUCAAUUCAGUAGUAUAAUUUCUAUGGCCAAAGUGGUAAAACAUUCGUCUUCCAUCCCUUUCUUUAUAUUCAGCUGAUCAUACAAGGACAAACUACAAAGAAUCAUGACUCCGAGUCAAUUGUCUGCAUUUUUAGUCUUCCACCAUCUUAUGUUGUAGCCUCAAAUGGUCGCUCCCAACUGGCAUAUAGAGACACCACCAUGCAUAAAGUCUACAGAACACCUUUAUCCCCGAAAGAACCGCACGUACAUCACGUUUGCAGUCCUACAUGGUAGGGGAAGUCAACAAGAGGAACUUUAAAUAUGAUUACGCUACUACUUUAAUUAAUAGCAAAGUUUUUUUUGUAGUAAAACUUCACAUCUGACGGAUUGGGCAGAUGGUAAAGUUGAAAACAUUAUGACCUCGUUUAGCAGCUCGGACUGUACUAACUAUUUCAGUCGGAUAAGAUAAUUUGUCAUCGGAUAGUACUGACUAUUUAAUUGGGCGUUUGGUGCAGUACCGGAUAAAAAACUCAAUUCAUCAAAGAUUAUCAUGUUUAUUUACUUCCUCAAAAGGAGAUUGAAUAACAUUUAUGGCACUGAGUUUCACAAUUUAAAACUAGCAAGAGAGAUGGAAAAAGAGCCAGCUUGAUUUUGUUUUCAGCGACCCGACUAAUUAAUACCGACGAUUUUGAGUGUAUAAGUUAUCCGGCGUACGUCGUAUAAAAUAGGUUGGACCGUAUAAAUAAUCCGGUGCUAAUUUAAUACCGAAUGGCACCAAACACCGGAUAGUAUUUGUUUAUACCAUACUUAGGGCCUCCGUAUUUAGAUCUCGUACAAAUACUCAUGGGACUUAAAUGUAAUUAUGUAAUAAAGGAAGGGGCAAAUAUAUAAUAAGUGAGGAGCCAUUAUUCUAUAAAAGAACUCCUCACCCUUACAAUUAGGGGGGCCAUUUCCUAAGCCUCUCCUAUCUAGAACAAAGCUCUCACACUCUCUCCCUCACAAAUACUCUCAGAGAAAUACAAUCAGUGUGGACGUAGCCCAAACCUUGGGGUGAACCACGAUACCUCUUGUGUUAUUUACAUUUCAUGUAGAUUCACGGUCGGAUUUAUGUUGUUCCAAGACCUCCGGUUUUGUGCAUCAACAUUUGGCGCCGUCUGUGGGAAUUGACACAAAAAACUAUGUCGGUUCUUUUUCAUUUUUUCACCUCCACCGUGAAUCUGCAAAAAACCCAAGAUCCAAAGCCAAACCUAGAACCUCCCUUCUUGGGGCUUUUACCAGAAAACCACAGUUUAUUCUCUCUCUAUCUCUCCUUUUCUUUUGCCGCAAAGGAAGAAAGAUUCGUCCUGGAGGAAUGGCUACUAUCAGAAACACAAGAUGCAUCCUUAUUAAACCUAUCAACCAAGGUUCCUUCCAGUCGAUGGCGUGGAAAAAGCCCAAGAAAGUGUGGACAGCAGGCGCCCCUCCACUGCCAUUUGAUCCAGGCGCUCCUCCACUGCCGACCGAACCUGCUCUAUCUCUCUUUCUCUCUUUCUCUCUCUUUUUCUCUCUCUAAAAUCUCAGAACACCUCCCACAAAGUCAUCAUCCUCGCCUCAAAAGCCCAUGGCCCUGAGACCAAACAUAACAGGCCUGACCCGCAACGGCUCUGCCUCAGGAUCCCUCAUAAACUCAGCCGUGGACUCCGUCAUGGGAGCCGCCGCUGACCGUAAAUUCUCAUCCCUUCAACUGCAGCACCUACGAGGCCACUACUUCUCCGGAGACAGUAGCGGCGACUCUCCCUCCUUCACCAGCUCCGAGUCCAGCUUCGAAGUCAACUCAUCCAACGGCAGCCACAGGUACACCAACAAGCCAUUGCUGCAAUUUAUAAAGGACAUCAUUAAUAUUGGCAGUGGCUGGUCGUGAUCUGCAGGGAGGGCAGAUGAUUCCAUUUGACGGCGACGUUUCUGCCUUUCUCUGGCCUUGUGAUUUUGGAACCAAGCCAUUGCUACAAACCUGCAUCAAACCCGCUCUGGCAAGAAAUCUCAAACCCCCUCUUCAAACCCACAUCACCGUCAUCACUGCCACCAUUGGAAGAGCAAAGGUAGAGCAAAACAUUGUAAUGGUGUAGACUAAGCGGGACCCCAUUGCUCCUGGCCUCGUCGUAAAGGCUCAGAGCUUGGAGCAGCUGGCUGUGCCUGGAGCACAUGUCUAGCUUAUGCCUAAGGACCCUUUCCGGCAAUCCCGCCGUGGUUUCUUCUUGGCUUUGUUGGAGACUGCCGGAGACAAUGGCAACGGCGAGUUAUUGGAGAAAGCCAGAGUCUUUUGUCCAUGGAGAAACUGCCGGUGGAAUUCAGGGUCGGUUUAGGUUUCGGGUAGAUUAAGACCGCCUUGUUGGAAAUACCGUUGACAAGGCGGACAACCAUACUAGUGACUGUCAGAUCUCCACAUCGAUGCUGCCACACUCUCUCUCUCCAUCCUUUGAGCUGUUCUUUCUCUCUUAUUAGACACCCUUCUGGAAAAGUCUUGGGUUUUCAGCUUUCCAACUGAAAAAUGAAGAAGCAUGAAUGGAAAUGUCCUUCAAUCCGAAAGUGAAAGGAGAAAAGAAAAGGCAAAAGCAGAGACAGAGAUAGAGAGAGAGGCGCAGUGCAAAGAGAAAAUGAAAGCAAAAGCAAGGAGUAGGGAGAUCAAGAAAAGCUUACUAUUAUUAAUUCUAUAACGAUUCAUUUUGUUUGCCAGGUGAAAAGACUGAUAGAGUGGUGGAAAAGAAAAAGCAAAACAGAAAACAAAAGCAAAAGCAAAAGCAACGCACCAACGAUCUGCAACUGUCGAAGCUUUUGUGUCGAAACCUUUGUUUUUGUAUGAUAUAAUUUAUUUUUCUUAUCUUUCGGAGACAUCUGUAUAAAUCUCGUCAGAGGGUAAUAACAAUAAUAAUAAUAAUAAUAAUAAUAAAAUAAAAAACGACAAAGCCCAAAAUAACUCCAACCAGGCGAUAAAAAAAGUACGCGCAGUACUUCACAAUUAUUUGACAACCUGCCGCUAUUACCACCAACCAGGUGAUCAAAAGUACGCCCAGUACUCCAAAAUUAUUCGGCAACCUGCCGCUAUUACCACCAACCAGGUGAUCAAAAGUACGCCCAAUACUCCAAAUUUAUUCAGCAGCAUGCUGUCAAUCAGGUGAUCAAAAGUACGCCCAGUACGUCAAAGUUAUACAUGAGCACUACUCAUGUCAAUCAUACAUAGACAUACAUGAGCAUUACUCAUGUCAAUCAUACAUAAACAUUCAUGAACAUCACUCAUAUCAAUCAUAUAUAAACAUUCAUGAGCAUCACUCAUGUUAAUAGCUUCAAAAGCUUCAUUUACAAAAGCUUUAUUUACAGAGCUCUAGCUUCAAAAACUUCAUUUACAAAAGCUCUAGCUUCAAAAGCUCCUUUUACAGAGCUCUAGCUUCAAAAGCUUCAUUUACAAAAACUCUAGUUUCAAAAGCUUCAUCUACAGAGCUCUAGCUUCAAAAGCUUCAUUUACAGAGCUCCAGCUUUAAAGCUUCACUUGCAAAGCUUCACUUGCAAAGCUUCAUCUACAAAGCUUCAAUGUAGGGUAUACAAAUACCGCCUCAGAACAACCGCCACUUCGGCCCAUACAUGGAUUCAAUUUGAAGUCUCCAGCCAACAUACUCUAUUGACCGAAGACUUGGGGGACUACAUUAUACACCAUAUGUUGGGCCUCAACUGGGCCUCAUGAAAAAUACUUAGGGGACUCUAGCUCAUUGUUCAUGUAUUGAGGAGCGAGCCCAUAUUUUAUAAAAGAGCCUCCCUCACUAUCAUCAGAGCAGCAUCUCUCUAGCCCAUUAUUCAUGUAUUGAGGAGCGAGCCCUUAUUCUAUAAAAGGGACUCCCUCACCAUCAUUAGAAAGCAUCGCCGCCCAUUGAGCAACCGCCUUGCCGCGAACAUCAACUCUAGCCCAUUAUUCAUGUAUUGAGGAGCGAGCCCUUAUUCUAUAAAAUGGACUCUCACCAUCAUUAGAGAGCAUCACCGCCUACUGAGCAACCGUCUCGCCGCAAACAUCAACUCUAGCCCAUCAUUCAUGUAUUGAGGAGCAAGUCCUUAUUCUAUAAAAGGGACUCCCUCACCUUCAACGCCACAAGCCGAACCAACCAAGGCAACAUAAGCCACAAACCAAGCAGCCUCGCAACGUGUACUACUUCUAGUUGAGCAUCAUUUCAGAUUAAGCACCGCCUCAUACCGAGCAUCAGUUCAAGACAACAUCUAGUUACUUCGGCCCACACAUGGACUGAAUUUCAAGUCUCCAACCAAAAGACUCUCUUGACUAAAGACUUAGGGGACUACUAUUUAUACCAUACUUAGGGUCUCCGUAUUUAGAUCUCGUACAAAUACUCGGAGGACUUAUAUGUAAUUAUGUAAUAAAGGAAGGGGCAAAUAUGUAAUAAGUGAGGAGCCAUUAUUCUAUAAAAGGACUCCUCACCCUCACAAUUAGGGGAGGCCAUUUCCUAAGCCUCUCCUAUCUAGAGCAAAGCUCUCACACUCUCUCCCUCACAAAUUCUAUCAGAGAAAUACAAUCAGUGUGGACGUAGCCCAAACCUUGGGGUGAACCACGAUACCUCUUGUAUUAUUUACAUUUCAUGCAGAUUCACGGUCGGAUUUACGUUGUUCUAAGACCUCCGGUUUUGUGCAUCAACAAUAUUAAAUAGUACUAUCCGGUGUGUUAUCCAGCAUGCCAAACACGCCCUAUAGGUGUCAUUAGAGUGAGGUCCCACGAUCAAAAAAUCCAACAUGGUAUUAGAGUUCACAGUUACGGGCCCAUGCAAGCUAAAGGCUUGUCACCAGGAAGUGUGGGCUUGGAAACAAGUUUGGACUUUUAACAUAUAGCUGGCCUCUGAAUUCUUAAGAGACACUUAUUGAAAAGACUGAUCUGGAUUCCAUUGGAGCCGACCUCUGAGUUUCAAUUGCCGAUGUGUGGAUCUCCAUGUGUCGAAAUGGGAUUACACGUGAGGGGCCGUGUAGUGGUUUACACGUGAGGGGGCAUGUUGGCAGUCCCACACCGGUGGGGGAAGUCAACAAGGCUGGCUUUAAAUAUGAUUGUCCAACUCUAACUAAUACAAAUGCCUUUUGUGGAAAAACCCCACACAUGAUGGAUUAGGCAGGUGGUAAAAUUGGAGACAGUAUCGAUGUAAUUAGAGAGAGACCUAUCGGGCCCGUCGAUCUAAAAAUUUUCACCGCACCACUCACGUAAGCCCUACUAAGGCAAGUUGUGGUCUAUAAAAAAGUCCCCAUUGGUCCUCUGAAGAUCACAGAACAAGGUUCAAACCAUGAAGUUCAAUGCAUAUUUUCUUGUGUUCUUUUCUCUUCUAUUCAUGCUGCAGUAUAGUUCCUGUAGAAUCACUGCACCAUGCAGUCAACCCCAUACCCUCAAGUGUGUCGCCAUUACAUUAACACUAACCUCUUAUCAAACCUAGAUCGUCACCAAAGGUUUGCAUUUCGUGACUUGGUACUUAAAGUUUCCAUGGACCAAGCCAUCGAAGCUCAUCAACUUGUCUUGUCCUUGAACUUGAACUCAUUGGACGCUGACCAUACUCGAGCCAAGGGGGCCUGGAAUGACUGCUUGGAGCUCUACGAGGACACCGUUGACAAGCUCAACCGUUCCAUCGGCUCCACCAAUGCCCUUGAUGUCAAUACAUGGUUGAGUGCAUCGCUUACUAAUCAACAGACAUGCCAAAAUGGUUUCAAAAACCUCAACAUUCCUAGUUCUCAUUUGCAAUCUUUCCCAAACUACGUCACGCUCUCAACCAACUUGUCCAAGCUGCUUAGCAACUCACUAUCAAUACACAAGGUCUCAACUUCUUCAUCAGCUCUACAUUUUAGCAAACAAGUUCGUGGAAGACGACGGCGUUUGCUUUCGGAUGAUGGGUUCCCAGAAUGGGUUUCAGCCGCUGAUCGAAAGCUGCUCCAAUCGAUAAGUAGCGGACCAAACGCUGAUAUGGUAGUAGCACAAGACGGGUCCGGGAAUUACAAGUCAAUUUCUGAAGCUGUGGAUGCUGCGUACAAGCUACAGGGUGGGGCGACUAAAAGGUUUGUCAUACACGUGAAGGCAGGAGUUUACAGAGAAAAUAUCGAGAUUAAGAAGACAAUGAAGAACAUCAUGUUCAUUGGAGAUGGUAUUGAUGCAACGAUUGUCACAGGGAAUGAAAAUGUCCAAGAUGGUUCAACUACAUAUCGCUCUGCCACAUUUGGUAAGUUUGAGUUGAAGCAAUAAUAAACUUUGAAUCAGUUUAAGGGAUAUUUGGACUCAACAAACCCCAUCAUCUUGAGUUAAUUUUGAAACUUUAGGUGGCGUCACACUUAGAUACUAAUUGAUUGAAGACCAAUUUAAUUAACUAAGUCAUGAUCAAUUUGAAAGUCCUAGAGAGACCAACUAUUUAAACUACAUGAUGCGGUUAUUGAUGAUGAAAUUAUUAUUUAAGUGUUUUUAAAAUGCUUAUUGUUUACUAGUAACACGUCAUAUUGUUUGUAAAUUAGUCUAUCAUGUUAUUCUUCACUUAAAUCAUGUUUUGUAAACCAUAUACAUGAUUAUUAAUAAUUGAAUUAUUAAGUGUUGAUUAACUUACUUAAUUUCUAUCAUUACUCUUACUCAAAUUAUAAAGCUAUUUACCAGAUCCUGCGUUUCCUUUUACUUUCUUUUUUUUUUGCCUUUUCUCGACAAGAUUUAAAUACUGAUAACCUAGCUAAUUACAUGCCACGUGAAUAGUUACAAGUUUUUGUCCUAGUAUACAUCUAAUGGUUCACAAAAUUAAUAAACUGUUCACUUAAAAUUCAGGGGCUACCGGCGAUGGCUUUAUUGCUCAAGACAUGACAUUCGAAAACACAGCCGGACCACAGAAAUACCAAGCCGUGGCACUCCGCUCCGGCUCCGACCAUUCAGUCUUCUAUCGUUGCAGCUUCAAGGGUUACCAAGACACGUUAUACGUGUAUUCCCAACGCCAAUUCUACCGCGAGUGCGACAUAUACGGCACGAUCGACUUCAUCUGCGGCGACGCCACGGUUGUGCUCCAAAAUUGCAACAUCUAUGCGAGGAAACCAAUGAGCAACCAAGUAAACACCGUGACAGCGCAGUCUAGGACCGACCCGAAUGAAAACACAGGCAUUGUUAUUCAUAAUUCGCGAAUCACGGCUGCACAAGAUUUGAGACCUGUACAAGGUUCGUUUAAGACGUACUUGGGUAGGCCGUGGAAAAAGUACUCUAGGACGGUAAUUAUGAAGAGUAAUCUUGAUGGGUUGAUCAAUCCUGCUGGUUGGUUUCCGUGGAUUGGAAGCUUUGCCCCCUCCACACUUUAUUACGGGGAGUACAUGAACUCCGGCGCUGGAGCUGGUACUGGAGGGAGGGUCAACUGGCCCGGUUAUCAUGUUAUAAGUAGUGCGGGGGAGGCCGGGAAGCUCACGGUUGGGAACUUUUUGGCCGGAGGUUCGUGGAUUCCGAGGACCGGAGUUCCAUAUACUGCUGGUCUAUGAUAAUGCAUGCAUGUGGUUGUGGAGAGAAGUUGUUUGACUUGUUAAGGAGGGACUUGUCACACUUGUAUAUUGUUGUGUGCGGAUAGUGACCUAAAGUGAAAAUCGUCACAUAGCUUGUUUUUAGCUUCCUUUUGCCAUUUAUCCCUCCUGUAAUGCAGUAAAUAUUUUGAAACUAUUACUUAAUGUUAUUACAUGGUGUUAUUAAUAGAUAACUCGUUUGAAAUUGCUUAUAAAAUAAGUAAAAGUACUUUUGAUGAAAAUAUUUUUAGACCUAAUCCUUGAUAAAUAUGUUGGUGAAUCCUGAAAAUGCAAUUCAAAUGCUUUUGGAACUCAAAAAUAUUUUUUCUAAAAACGUUUUCAAUCAUUUUAAAAACAACUACAAACAUGCCAUGAUAUAUUGUCACAUAAUGGUAUUAACAAUAUUGGGUCAACAAUGCCCUUCCUUUCAUCAAAAGAUUUGGAAGGCCAGCAUCCAGUUGAGCGCUGGGCAUACCGACGCCCGAGUUUGUCAAGAAAGCUUUGAGUUCGUGAACGAUGGGCCUAUCAAAACCGAAGUGUCUAAUCGAGUGGAAGAUUUGAUUAAGCUUGCGGGCAUUGGGCUUGAGCUCCUUGAUAAAGUUGAAAAAGGGAUAGUGCUCUGAUUAUAAUGCGCUUACGGUCGUUGGAAAAGUUGAAAUUGUCAAUUAGUGAGAUAAUUAAUAAAAAUAAAUUAAGGUCUAAAUACUUCAAAUCUUAACGUCGGUUUGUAUUUUCUUCCUUGAUUGUGUCGUCUUAUAAAAAGAUUAUAUAGUAGUAAGGAAGACAAUUUAAUCCUACAUAUCGGUUAAUCCUAUAUACAGGUGUUUGGGCCCAAAAUGUUGGUUUGGGCCGAGUUUUAUUCUCGGCCCGGAAGGUCUUACGAAAAGGUUAUUGUGGAUCGCCUAGUUCAUGGGCUUCCUAGCCUAGGUCGGCCAAGUCUUGUUGCGAGACGAGUAAUUGAAUCUUGGUACAAUAAGGAGUCUCGGCAAGAUAAAGAUAUUGAUAAUCCGGAAGUGAAUGCAGUUUGAUAAAGGAUUGGGUUCAAAGUCAUAAUAAAAAUAGGACUAGUCGAGAUAGUGUUUGAUUAGAAUAAGAAGUCCUAAUCCGAGUAGGGUUUUAACUCAGUCUAGAGCGGACCUGAUGCUAUAAAUAGAGGAAGAUGUGCAUCAUUCAUCUGGUCCUCCAAUUCAACACACAACUGCCCUGCGCAAAUUCUCUUAACAACCUUAAGAUUUUUUCUUUUCUUUUUCCGCCGACACACCUUCAGUUUGGAUAAACAGCACUGUAAAGGCAACUGGUGAUAUCUUCAGUUAGCAUAAAAAUCACUGUCGUCGUAGAAUCAGCCGAUCUCGCCGCAUCUUCAGUUGGCAUAAACAACACUGCGUUGAGGGCGGCUGGUUAUCAAUCCAAGGCUUGGUCGAAAAGGAUUUCCGAAUCCUUAUUGGUCGAGAUCAUCUUAUUAGCCUUCUCGGCAAAGUGAGGUGUUACAGUUUAUUGGGCUCGGCACAUUGCACGCCGAGUUAUUUUAUGAUUGGAUACUCUCAAGUGGGAUUUAGAGUUCGGCACUUCGACUGCCGAACCACAUUUACUGUUAAGACUUAUAUUCGCUUUGAGUAUUUGUGCCCUUACACUUUGGUGUCGAUUUGGCGUGAGUUUACUCUGACGAAUACCAUCACUUGGACCGAAUCCAACGACGACGAUUUGUGAACUUCGUAAGAAUAGUAGCCUUGUCUUCAGGUUUGAGAACCCAAGAGGCCGAGACGUGUUCCUUCCUCGGUCGCGAUCGCAAGACACAUAAGUCAGCCGCGCACCCAACGCAACAUCAACACAUUUUACUCCUCGUCCGAACUCGGCCAACGAGUUGGCACGCCCCGCAUUCAACCGAAAGACGUAGUUAGCUCAUAGAUUACUUGGCCUGCGCGCCACGUAGGCUUGGUAGUUUUUAGGGUCAACAACAGGUUAUAGUUUAAAUCCUAGUUUAUCGUCGGUUUGUAUUUUCUUGCUUGAUCGUGUUAUCUUACGUCAAAAAAAAUAAUCAUAUGUAUAUUCUUAUAAUGAAAAAUAAGAUUACUAAUACAUUAAAAUGAAACUAAAGCUUACGUAUAUUCUUAGAAUAAAAAAUAAGCAUAUUAUAUCCUUCGAUUUCAGAACAGUUUCAUGAACUAUUUUUCCUUUCAUUCUGAUUACGAAUUAGUAAAUGAGUCAUUAUAGUGGCUUGAAGUAGGGGAGUUAAACUCUCGAUUAAAUACUAAUUGGAUUUUACAUAUAUUAGUGAGGUAUUAUUAUUGAAUUGGGCCAACAGAAGCACAAGGCUUCUGUUAAGCAACACGACUCGUUAGAUAUUCUUUUGCUUCCAACCCAGAUGAUCGGUCAACAUCAACAAGAAUGAAGAAUCCUGCCCCAACACAAUGAACUUUCUAAGAGGUUAACAAGAAUCCAAAGAAUAAAUGGGCCCUAUUAAAGUUAUGAAGAAUUUGCUUUUAUAACAUUAAUGUUUUUUCCUUUUAUAAAAUCAUUAGUUCCUUCUUGUAAUACCACUGAAUGAAUUGUGUACCUUAAAUAUUCAAAAAAGAAUAUUUUAGGCAUCCCAAAAAUCUUAAAUAUUCAAAAAAGAAUAUUUUAGGCAUCCCAAAAAUGAGGAAAAUGAGGUUAACUCACAUUCACAAAGAUACUUGGACCAAUACUGAGUAAAUCAUGCUCGAAAUCAAUUAAUUAAUUAAUACUACACGAACGUAAACAAAAAAACUUUGUAAUAAACUAGAAUUAAAUAAACGAAAAUGCAUCAUAUGCUUAUUCUAAAUUAACUAUAUAUGGAAACAACUUUAAUUGGCUAGUCCAGAUUCGGUGUACAAAAAAUCCUAAUGUUUGUCCAAAAAAUCAUGAUGAAGUUCUUUCUUACUAUAUAAACCCCCUCCCCACACCACGACCAGCACAACUCCAGUACAUGUACAAGUACAACCAGACAUCGAUCCCUGGUAAUCAUGAACACCACCCAAUGAAUGACGACCCAGUUUCUCCUCUCCCUCCCCUUCCUCUUAUUCCUCUCCCGCCCAAUCCCCACUGCCGGAUCCCCAUUCACUGAAAAGGUACAACGCACCAAGGACGCUGUCAACAUCGGCCUAACCCAUGCCCAGGGCGAUCAUUCGUUUCCAGCAUACCCCCCCCCCCCCCCUCCAAUCCGACGUCCGCACUGCUAGGGCCCUUAAUUCUUGCGUUGAAUUGUUCCAGUAUGCUGUUGACUGCUUUCACAAUGCUCUUGCGUUUAUGGACCAGCUCGGUACCCCCGGUACCCCGUCAUUCCAUGACCAGAUUUGGAAGACAAAUGUCCAGUUGACCGCCGCAGGUACCAAUGCGCAAACUUGUCAAGAAAGCUUUGAUAUUGUGAAGGACGGGCCUCUCAAGACCGAAGUGUCCAAUCGAGUGGAUGAUUUGAGUAAGCUUGCGGGCAAUGCACUUUCGCUCCUUGUUAAAAUUGGAUAGAGGGCUGCGCCCUGAUCACAAUGCGCUUUCAUCUUCAUUCCAUAAAAUUAUUGUGGUAAUUUUGAACUCUUCUGCAUCUCCUUAAUAACAAUUUUUUUUUUUAAAAAAAAUCACCUUUUACAGUAUGUUAAAGAUUACAAUUUUACCUAAAUAAAGAAUAUUUGAAUAUAAAAAUUUAUAGAUACGAAUACAUGGAAACCGAAAAUUCCAACUAGAUUUUGGAUACCCUUAUGGGCGCUAACGGAGCCAAGGUGGGGGCAAUGGUAUUCCUUGACCCCAAUAACCUUGUGGCCAAAUUGAAAGGCCUAGUAUUAAAUUUGAGAUUGAAAAAUGUUGUGCAUAGUGUUGCAAAUGGAAGCAGCUAUUAUAUACAUAUACAUACAGCACGCAUGCAAUAAUCAAAUAUAAAACAAAAGGCAUCAUUGUUGCCCAUGAUGCAGCUGCCACGCCUAUGAUGUGCAUUUGCCACGUGCAAACCCUUGCUGACUAGGAUGUGGUAUCCACAUGCAACUGUCCAAACUGUCCAGAAUGUGCAUCCACAUGCUACAUUCCUGCUGUCCACUUUGUGCAAACACCUAGAGCCUUUUCGGUGCAGCUUGAGUGAUUUCUUUUCCUUUAACACCUAGAGCCUUUUCGGUGCCAACAGCCCCAAACAAGAAGAAGAAGGAGGAGCUGCUGCUCCAUUUGUUAGUCAUCACUCCAUCAUCGCCUCUUCUUCCCCUGCUAAAUCUUCCCACCACCGUGACUAGUAGUCUACUGCUACUCUUAUUCACUUUUCCCACAUUUUUCCUAUUUUAAUUUUAGCCUAUAAAAAAACAUCUAAUCUUAACCGAUUCACAUUUCAGCAUUUUCUCAGCGAUUUCCCAAAUUAGACUUUUGUUUUUGGGUGCUUCAUUUGUUUCCAAUUCAAUCUGUCAAAGGUACUUGUUGUUUCCCUUUCGGCCAUUAUUUUCUUUGUUUCAGGGGGCUUCAUUUGUAUCCAAUGCUCAUUCUUUUAUUUAGGCUUAAUUCACAUAAAUAAUACCGAAAUGAAGUGUGAUCUAUUACUCAAAGAAGGUGACAUUCUUGGUGUGGCCAGAAGGAUACUACCUGUUGUAAAUCUUGCCCUAUCAAAGACGAGAGCGCUUUUCUCAGGAGAGACAUCCAUGACCCUCAAGGUAACGACAAACAAAACAUUAAGGCAGUGUUUGAAUUCAGAAUUGCUUGCUUUGCGUGAUUAGUAAUGGAAGCUCAACUUUUGACAUCGUUGUCUUAAAUUCCUAGCUCCGCCACUACUUAUGGGACAUGGUUUUUAAAGUCAGACAAGGCCUUCUAUAGUUAAGUGAAAUGUACAAAUUAUAGUUAAGGCAUCCGAAAAAAAAAAAGAGGGAAAGGAGGUUAACGCACAGUUGCCGCCCUUCACGACUGCGUCAUAUUGUUCAACGAUGCCAUGGACUCCUUCCGCGAUGCGCUCGUGUUUAUGGACCAGCUGGACACCCCGUCCUUUCAUGAAAAGAUUAGGGAUACGAAUCUCCAGAUGACUUGUGAAGAAGACUUGGAGCCCGUGGCGGAAGGGCCUCCUCUCAAGACAAAGUGUCCAAUCGAGUGGAGGGUGUCACCAAGGUUACGGGCAUUUGUGGUGAGACCGCUACCUUUACACACUUGGGUUUGGCCACUAAGGAGGCCUGAAAAUGAGCAAUUAUUAUGGGUUGAGCAUGCCUAUAUAAAGAAGAGAGGCAACCCAAUAGACUAGAGGGGUUGAGUUUUGGAUCAUUUCCUUUUCUCCUUAAAUUGGUUAGGAGCCCUUGAGCACUCAUGGUUGAAUGUAUUGUACAUAUAUAUAUAUAGGAAUUGCUUAAGGGGAGGGAUCCCCAUUUUUUCAAAAAAAUGGGGACACGCUCCCCACCGUUGGAUUUGACUUAAAUGAAAUCCUGUGGUUGAGAUUCUAUAGCCUGUGUUUUAAUCUCAACCACACAAUUUCAUUAAAGUCAAUCUAACGGUGGGGAGCGUGUCCCCAUUUUUUUUGAAAAAAUGGGGAUCCCUCCCCUUAAGCUCCCUGUAUAUAUAUAUAUAUUACAGAUUUUCAAUUGAUGCAGUCCAUUUCUGGGUAAACCACUUUAAAUUUAUUUCGUUAAAAUAUCAUGCAUAUCAUUGUCCAUCAUAAUUGACUAUUCAAAUCUUUUGGUUAGCCUCAUCAACUUUCAACGUUAACAUGACCCAUGCCAAAAUUCAUGUUUUCAUAACUCAUAAGAGAUUCCUUUUCACGUGUGAACUUUAUUUUUGUAUAUAAAUUUGGGUACUUUUCAAAUGCAACAUCUAUCAAUGUUGUUAUACGAGAGGUAAAAUGCCUCUGUUAGUUGAUCUGACUAAAACCCUACCUAAUUAAUGGCUGAUGGCCUCAUUUCAGUGAUUAAACCCAUACCGGGUUGGAAAUAUUUUGAUGGACGCAACCACGGGUGUUCAAAUUCCAAUUAACUUUGAUUGAAGAAAAUAAAUUAAUACAACUGUAGGCCAGUUAAUGGUUAAUAAAAUAGUGUUACAUUUAUUGUAUCAUCUUUCAGAUAGAAGUAGAGUCCAUAAACACAUAUGGGUCUCAUAUUCAUUAGAAAAAUGAUACAAGUAAAUAGUAAAAGUAAUAUUUUUAUGAUCAAUACUGUUGAGACGUAUCAAGUUUUAUAAAUUUCAAGGAAAAGAAGAGGGACCUCAACACCAUGCACAACUUGGCAUUUUACAUUCCAUCCUAGAAAUAAUUGAGUGUAAUCUCACAUUCCACCCAUCCAUCUUUCAUCAUUUGAUUAUUCGUUCAAUGUCUUGUCCCCAUGAAAAAGAAAGAGCAUAGGUCGAGAACAGGUUCCUUGCUCACUCGCACAUCGUUUGAUUAAAAUCAAAUACAAGAGCACAACACAAAAGCUUUCACGAAUAUUUCUAUGUCGGCUAAUGUAGGCCACAUGAUGGCACUCCGCCACUCCCGCACUCUUAGCUAAAGAAGAAUCAAAAGUCCUCAACGGCUUCUUGAGAUGAAAAAAAGGGAGUCCACCGAAAACACUUGUCACAUCAUGGAUCAUUUACAUAUUAUAAUAUGGUGAAAAACAUGAUUAAUAUCCCGUUGUUGAGAGUAUAUUAAUAAAACCAAAUAUAUUAUAAUUUGAAUAGAAUAAUAAAUCAUUAAGUUACAAGCACACCAAAUUUUUUUUUUAUUGUGUAUACCAAGUUUUUUGAGUCGAGGGGCCAAUGACAAGCCGCGUGUACCAAAAUGUUUGCUAAGGGUUUUAUAAAGUAGAAAUUACGUGGUAUGUCAAAAGGUGGUCUAGAGUCUACUUCCUAAGAAAUUUUUCAAUGAUAGAAACACGGUUAGAUACACUGGGUGUCACAAUAUAAGUUGUUGAAAUUUUUUUUUUUCAAAUAUUCAACCACAUAUAUUAUGAUACUUGGUGUACCUAACAGUAUUUUUGGCACACUGAAAAUUCUCUUUUACUUCACAUAUGGUGUACACCUAAUAAACUCUUAGGCCUCGUUUGGCACGCCGUAUAAGAGCACCGGAUAGUAUUAAUAGUACGAAACAGAUGUUUGGUGAGCUUCGUAUUAAAUAAGCACCGGAUUAUUUAAUACGGGCCCACUCAUUUUAUACACCUCCCACCCGCUUAUUUAUCUCAACCAAAACCUCUGUAUAAUUUAGUCGGGUAGAGUGUCCAUCUCUCUCGCUCACUUCGUCCCCCUCUCUCUCGCUCACUUCGUCCCCCCAUUGCUCCGCCACUCCUUCCUUCCCCAAUAACACCGACCCCCGAACCUCCACAUCUCCUCCGCCGCUCCCAGCAACCCAACUCCUUCUUUCUGCAAAAUUCUUAGAACUCGAGCUGCAAAACGCUAACUUUUCGAAUUGGGUUUCUCUAGGAAUUGCAGAGAAUUAUAGGACUGGAGAUGUUUUAUGAGUUUUUAGCUUAAUUGCUCCCUGAUUUUGUUGAUGGAUUUAGGCGAUUUGGGGGUGGGACGGAGAGAUUUGGGACAACUUUGUGGCUGCUGGGUUCUUCCUGCAUUUGACAACUUUGUUUUUUUUCUAUUCUUUUUCUUUUCCAGUAAUCAUCAAACUGGGUUUGGGGGGUGCAGAGAGAUCUGCGAAAGAGAGAGAGGGAUGGAGUUUGGGGGGUGCAGAGAGAUCUGCGAAAAAAAAAGAUGAUUUCACUUUUUUUUUUAAUUUUAUUUUAAGUUUGAUUUCUCUUAUCCGGUAUAAUACCAAACAUAGUAUAAAUAAUACGAUUAUUAAUCCAAUACUGCACCAAACGUCCGAUUAAUUUAGUCAGUACUAUCCGAUGACUAUUUAUCCUAUCCAAUAGAAAUAGUCAGUACAGUCCGAGCUGCCAAACGAGGUCUAAAAGAUGAGAAUCCAUCCAAUCGAAAUCAAGGGCCAAAGCUCCACAGGGUCUCUUGGUGCAUUUGCUUGUGGUCCUCCUUGAAAAUUGGACUAGGGUUUUGACAAAGUCUUCCUAUCUAAAUAUCCGACACAACGUUUACAUCUCCAUUAUUUGGCCCUCCUUGGUACGUGUUCAACUUUCGAAUAAUGACACAAAUUACUAUCUAAAUAUCCGACACAACGUUUACAUCUCCAUUAUUUGGCCCUCCUUGGUACGUGUUCAACUUUCGAAUAAUGACACAAAUUACUAAAGUUCCUUUGGAUUGAUUGGUUAUGUAACGGCACAAGAGUACUACAAAGUACAAAGUACGUACGAGUGAGGAAAUGUCCAAAAGAUGAAUAAUUUACAUAUUACAAUAUGGUGAAAAACAUGAUUAAUAUCCCGUUGUUGAGGGUAUAUUAAUAAAAUUAAAUACAUAUAUUAUAAUUUUAAUAAAAUAGUAAAUCACUAAGUUACAAGUACGCUAAAAAAUAUUUCGUUGUGUCUACCAAGCCUUUUGAGUCAAGGGGCCAAUGAGAAGCUGCGUUACCAAAAAUUUUGCUAAGGGUUUUAUAAAGUAGAAAUUACAUGGUAUAUCAAAAGGUGGUCUAGAGUCUACUUCCCGAGAAAAUUUUCAGUGUCGGAAACAAGACUCAAUACACCAAGUGUCAUAAUACAAGUGGUUGUAUUUUUAACCACAUAUAUUGAGCAAUACUAGGUAGGCCAAAUUUUUUAAACCAAAAUUACAAACUAAAUGUUGUGGUUGUAGAUGGUUAGAUUAUUAAUUAAGUGUCGAUUAGCGUGUUUGUUUCUUAUUGGUGACAAGUCAUUUGAUUUGCACUUUGGUAUAAAAAAUUUGAUCUUCCUAGCACUACUCCACAUAUAUUAUGGCACCACGCAGUACCAGGACAAGGAGAAAUUUUUAGUUGUGACAGGAACACAAAUGGUACACCACGUGUUUUAAUAUGAGUGGUAAGAAAUUUUAUUUUUUAAGUUAUUAACUUUUUAGCGCACAUAUCUCACUAUUUGUAUAGUGACACGUGAUGUACCACCCUGUGUACCGAUCACACUGAAAAAUCUCUCAAGGACCAUGACCUUUGCUUCCUUAUUUUCCUCUUUUUCUUUCUCUUCCACCCAAUCCCAACCGUUGGAUCCUUAACCCAACGCAAUUGACUUCAUCCGUACAAGUUGUAGAACCACGCAAUACAAUGACCUUAGGCCAUCUCCAACCGAAGGGUCCAGAAGGCCGAAAAUAGCCCUAAAAUCGUCUCCAACCGAGGGCUAGGCCAGAAGGCUCGGGAAUCUGGGAGGGCCGCACGGAAUUUCAAAGGGCCAAAGGGCCAAAGGGCUGGCUGCUUUCGACCAGCCAGCCCCGGGCUGGCUAUUUUUUUUUUAUAGUUUUGUUAUUCCUGUCGGUUAUAACCGACAGGAAUACAUGCUAUUAUUUAAUAUACUAAAUAAUGGUGUAUUCCUGUCGGUUAUAACCGACAGGAUUUUAAAAAAAAAUUCAAAUGAAACGGCUACUAGCCGUUGCAUUUGAUUUGAUUUUUUUUUACAUUAUUUAUUAUUAUUAUUAUUUAUUUACAAAAAAUUUCAUAUAACUUCUAUUUUUUCCUAUAACUUCUAUUUCACAAAAUUUGGUUCAUAUUUUUUUUAAAUUCCAUUUUUUUCCUAUAACUUCUAUUUCACAAAAUUGUUUCAUAUUUUUUUUUCCUAUAACUUCUAUUUCACAAAAUUUAUUUCAUAUUUUUUUUAAAUUCCAUUUUUUUCCUAUAACUUCUAUUUCACAAAAUUUAUUUCAUAUUGUUUUUUAAAUUCCAUUUUUUUUCUAUAACUUCUAUUUCACAAAAUUUGUUUCAUAUUUUUAUUUUGAAUUCCAUUUUUUUCCUAUAACUUCUAUUUGACAAAAUUUGUUUCAUGUUUUUUUUUUAAAUUCCAUUUUUUUCCUAUAACUUCUAUUUGACAAAAUUUGUUUCAUAUUUUUUUUAAAUUCUAUUUUUUUUUCCUAUAACUUCCUAAGCCAUUAUACAACAUUAAAUUAAAUUAAGUAACAUGAAACAACGUUAAACAAUAUGAAACAACAUUAAAUAACAUUAACCAACAUAAAAAUUAUACAACAUGAAACUUAAACAACAUUUUAGUUGUAGUUUUUAAAUAAUAAAUUAUGUUUGGCCCUCGGUUGGAGACGGAGGCAAAUAUGGUCAUGUACUGUUCAUUAAAAUAUUAAUAUCUUGGGGAAUCUUGGAGGGCCAGAGGGCUAAAACGAGCCCUCUGGCCAGCCCUCGGUUAGAGAUGGCCUUAGCUAUGCCUCCCUUUCCUGCUGAUUCUAAAUCAACUAUGAAAACUCCUUUCAUUGGCUAGUCCAGAUUCAGCGUACAGAAAAAAAAAAAAGCCUUAAUACUUCACAAUAAAAACCUAAUGAAGUUCUUUUCUACUAUAUAAACCCCCUGUCCCAAGGAAAAGAAAAAAACCUUGAUCUCCUUGAUAUGGUGAAAAACAUGAUUAAUAUGCCAGUUGCUGAGAGUAUAUUAAUAAAAUCAAAUACAUAUAUAUAAUUUGAAUAAAAUAGUAAAUCACUAAGUUACAAGCUGCGUGUACGAAAAUUUUAGCCAAAUGUUUUACAAAGUAGAAACUAUGUGGUAUAUCAAAAGGUGGUCUAGAGUCUACUUCACGAGAAUUUUUUCAGUGCUGGAAACAUGGCUCGAUACACCAAGUGUCAUAAUACAAGUGAUUGUAAUUUUUUCUUUUCAAGUAUCAAACCAUUUAUAUUAUGAUAUUUGUUGUACCGAACUGUGUUCUUAGCACACUGGAAAAUCUCUCUUACUUCACCUAUGGUGUACACCUAAUAAACUUCUAAAAGAUGAGAAUCCAUCCAAUCGAAAUCAAGGGCCAAAGCUUGACAGAGUCUCUUGGUGCAUUUGCGAGUGGUCCUCUUUGAAAAUUGGACAAGGGUUUUGACACUCUUCCUAACUAAAUAUUCGACGCAACGUUUACAUCUCCAUUAAUUAUUUGGCCCUCCUUUGUACGUGUUCAGCUUUCGAAUAUACUGACACAAAUUACUAAAGUUGCUUUGGAUUUAUUAGUUAUUUAACGGACACAAGAGUACUGCAAAGUACGUACGAGUGAGGGAAUGUCCAAAAGAUCAAUCUGAUACUUUUUUGAAAGAAAUCGAGGAAAUUAAACUGCUGUAAGUUAGACUUUUAAGGAAUGAUACUGAUUGGUCUUAAUUUAUAACAAAAUCUCAACAGUAAUUUGUCGAAAGAUUUUGAUUUAAGCGAUAUUAUUGCUUUAAGCUCACUAAAAACUCAUGAGAGAGUUUGAACACGAAACACUAUUAGUUGUAGAAAACAGCCUUAUCCACCAAAUCAAUUCAGUAUUACAAUUUCUAUGGCCAAAGUGGUAAAACUUUCGUCUUCCAUCCCUGUCUUUAUAUACAGCUGAUCAUACAAGGACGAACUACAAAGAAUCAUGACUCCGAGUCAAUUGUCCGCAUUUAUGUUUUAGUCUUCCACCGUCUUAUGUUGUGGCCUAAAAGGUCGAUGAUCGCUCAACUGGCAAUAGGAGACUGAUAAAGAUAAUUUUCUCGGAGUAGAUUUUUAAUGUCUCGCAUUUUAUCAAAAGGUCAAUUAUAAAAAGAUUGGAAUUUCUCAAAAUCAAUUUAUAAGGCUUGGUUCCUUAUAAAAAGUGAUUGGAGUGAUAAAGUCUACAUAACCUAUUUAUCCCCGAAAGAAAAACCUUUACCGCACGUACACCAAUCACGUAAGCCCUACAAAGGCAAGUUGUGGUCUAUAAAAAAGUCCCCGUUGGCCCUCUGAAGAUCACAGAUCAAAGUUCAAACCAUGGAGUUCAAUGCAUAUUUUCUUGUGUUCUUUUCUCUUCUAUUCGUGCUGCAGUAUAGUUCUUGUAGAAUCACUGCACCAUGCAGUCAAACCCCAUACCCUCAAGUGUGUCGCCAUUACAUUAACACUAACCUCUUAUCAACCCUAGAUCGUCACCAAAGGUUUGCAGUUCGUGACUUGGCACUUAAAGUGUCCAUGGACCAAGCCCUUAAAGCUCAUCAACUUGUCUCGUCCUUGAACUUGAACUCAUUGGACGGUGACCAUACUCGAGCCAAGGGGGCCUGGAAUGACUGCUUGGAGCUCUACGAGGAUACCGUUGACAAGCUCAACCGUUCCAUCGGCUCCACCAAUGCCCUUGAUGUCAAUACAUGGUUGAGUGCAUCGCUUACUAAUCAACAGACAUGCCAAAAUGGUUUCAAAAACCUCAACAUUCCUAGUUCUCAUUUGCAAUCUUUCCCAAACUACGUCACGCUCUCAACCAACUUGUCCAAGAUGCUUAGCAACUCACUAUCAAUACACAAGGUCUCAACUUCUUCAUCAGCUCUACAUUUUAGCAAACAAGUUCGUGGA
rnacentral:lncRNA from 1 species